rnacentral:rRNA from 1 species
AUUGAACGAUGGCGGCAGGCCUAACACAUGCAAGUCGAGAGGCGCGGCGGACGGGUGAGUAAUGCCUAGGAAUCUGCCUGGUAGUGGGGGCUAACGUCCGGAAACGGGAGUUAAUACUGCAUAAUAUCAGAUGAGCAUUGGUCGGAUUAGCUAGUUGGUGGGUUAAAGGGCUACCAAGGCGCCGAUCCGUAACUGGUCUUAGAGGAUGAUCAGUCACACUGAAACUGAGACACGGUCCAGACUCCUACGUGAGGCAGCAGUGGGGAAUAUUGGACAAUGGGCGAAAGCCUGAUCCAGCCAUGCCGCGUGUGUGAAGAAGGUCUGCGGAUUGUAAAGCACUUUAAAUUGUGAGGCGGUACCAACAGAAUAAGCACCGGCUAACUUCGUGCCAGCAGCCGCGGUAAUAC